AAUGAACGCUGGCGGCGCGCCUAAUACAUGCAAGUCGAGCGAGAAGACGUAGCAAUACGUUUGUAAAGCGGCGAACGGGUGAGGAAUACAUGGGUAACCUACCCUCGAGUGGGGAAUAACUAGCCGAAAGGUUAGCUAAUACCGCGUACGCUUCUUGGACUUCGGUUCAGGGAGGAAAGCGAUGCCGAGGGUAUCGCGCUCUUGGAUGGGCUCAUGUCCUAUCAGCUUGUUGGNGAGGUAACGGCUCACC
rnacentral:rRNA from 1 species